rnacentral:rRNA from 1 species
GACGAACGCUGGCGGCGUGCUUAACACAUGCAAGUCGAACGGAAAGGCCCUGCUUUUGUGGGGUGCUCGAGUGUCGAACGGGUGAGUAACACGUGAGUAACCUGCCCUUUACUUUGGGAUAACUUCAUUAAACUGGAGCUCAUACCCGAUAUGAGCUCCUGCUGCAUGUUUGGUUUUUUAAAGUUUCGGCGGUUGUGGAUGGACUCGCGGCUUUUCAUCUUGUUGGUGGGUUAGUGGAUUACAAAGGCUUUGACGGGUCGCCGGCCUGAGAGGGUGACCGGCCACAGUGGGACUGAGAUACGGCCAAGACUCCUACGGGAGGAAGCAGUGGGGAAUAGUGCAAAAUGGGCGGAAGCAUGAUGCAGCAACUCCGCGUGCGGGAUGACGGCCUUAGGGUUGUAAACCGCUUUCGCCUGUGACGAAGAGUGAGUGACGGUAAUGGGUAAAGAAGCACCGGCUAACUACGUG